UACGUAGGGCGCAAGCGUUGUCCGGAAUUAUUGGGCGUAAAGAGCUCGUAGGCGGCUUGUCACGUCGAUUGUGAAAGCCCGAGGCUUAACCUCGGGUCUGCAGUCGAUACGGGCUAGCUAGAGUGUGGUAGGGGAGAUCGGAAUUCCUGGUGUAGCGGUGAAAUGCGUAGAUAUCAGAAGGAACAUCAGUGGCGAAAGCGACUUCCUGGACCAGAACUGACGAUCAGGCACGAAAGCGUGGGGAGCAAACAGG
rnacentral:rRNA from 1 species